UAUAUAUAUAUAUAUUCUUUUUCUCACAUUAUUCUCCAUCACAUUCCAUCACAAAUGAUUAGAUAUAGUUCUCUGUGCUAUUCAGCAGAUUCUCAUUGCUUAUCCACUCCAAAUGCAAUAUUUUGCAUCUAUUAACUCCAGACUCCCAGUCCAUCCCACUCCCUCCGUCUCCCUCUUGGCAACCACAAGUCUUUCUCCAAGUCCGUGAGUUUGUUUCUUUUCUGUAGAUAGGUUCAUUUGUGUCAUAUUUUAGAUUCUAGAUAUAAGUAACAUUGUGUGGCGUUUGUCUUUCUCUUUCUGACUUACUUUGCUUCGUAUGAGAGUCUCUAGCUCCAUCAUGUUGCUGCAAAUGACAUUAUUUUGUUCUUUUUUAUGGCUGAGUAGGAUUCCAUUAUGUAUAUUACCACAUCUUAUUUAUGCUCCUAGUGAAGUACCUGCCUCAUAAUACACAUUUAGUAAAAAUUUGUUGAAUAAGUGAACAUUAAAAAGAAAGUAUGGAGUUCCUUUUGCAGCUCAGUGGGUUAAGAACUUGACAUAGUGUCUGUGAGGAUGUGUGGUUUAAUCCCUGGCAUCACUCAGUGGGUUAAGGAGCUGGCGUUGCUGCAAACUGCAGUGUAGGUUGCAGAUGUAGCUUGGAUCUGGUAUUGCUAUGGCCAUGGUGUAGGCCUCAGCUGCAGCUCUGAUUUGGCCCCUAGCCCAGAAUUUCCAUAUGCUGCAGAUACAGCCAUAAAAAAGAAAAAGAAAAAGAAAUUUGAAGCAGCCAAAAAAAAAAAAAAAAAAAUCACUAAGAUCUGGAGAAAUUAGUUCUUGACUACACAAAGCCUUAAAUCAGCAUCACACUUGGAAAUGUGAUAGACACUCAGAAUCCCAGGCUCCAUCCUAGACCCAUUGAAUCAGUAUCUGCACUAUAAAAAGAUCCUCAGAUGAUUUGUAGUAGGAAUGAUGAAAUUUGAGAAAUAGGUUUCUAGUUCAUUUUCUUCCCCAACAAGUGUGGGUUUUCAUAUGUUCGAAUGGAACACACACACACUUAUAUACAUAUUCACACUUUUUAUCUUUGUAAAGACUAGAAUAACUACUUUUAUAAAUAGGCUUAAUGGUAAGAAAAAAGUAAAAUGGAAAUUUAAGGCAAGGGUAAAUUUGAUAAUGUCUGGGAACUUACUCAUGCUGCAGGCAUGGCCCAAAAAUUGUAUUUCUCUUGGCGUUCCUGCUGUGGCACGAGGAUUAAUGAUCCUGUGUUGUCUCUGUGGUGGCGUAGGUUCAAACCCCGGCCUGGGAACUUCCAUAUACUGUAGUACAGCUGAAAAAGAAAAAAAGCCUAUAUUUCUCAUAUAGUUCUCACAGUUAGCAGAGGCCCUGUGUAAUACUUGUUUCUGAAAAGGAAGGGGAGAUCAUAUUUUAACUGGAAGUGCUUCUCGGUGUGUUUAAGAAUUUUAUAGGAUACCAUCUCUGAUAAUGUUUGUAAACAAGGGCCUUGAGUGUGUUUCUCAUGUGAAUAUUCCUAUUUUGUCUAUAGAUGGAAUUUCAUUACAUCUGGAGAUCAGAGGUGGGACUGUGGAUUUGGAUGGAGGGCAUAAAUUCCUAGAUUUCCUUCGGCCCUUUCUGACUGGGGAGGAGAGAUCCCAGAGUUUAUGUUGGCCUCACUUUACCCAGUGGAUACUGGCAGUGUGCCCAUUGGAGUGAAUCUGGUUUAGUAAAGUAUGAAAAGGUAAAAAAAAGUAGUCAUAGAUCAAUGAGUUGGAAGGAUUGGGAACUAUCAAGACUUUAAAUUACUGUAAGCCGUAAGCCUCAGCUCUGCUUUAAGAUGAACAUAUAAGAGUGAAUGGUGUUUUAUGACACAACUUGUGUGUGAUAGAUGUACGGUGUCAGUUGCAGUUUUAAAGUUGUUGUAACUUAAUUUCCAAAAACAUGGGAAUUCUGAUUUUUUUGUUUUGUUUUGAUGAAUGAGUCUGAAAAAAAAAAAUGCAAUAGCUCAAAGUUAGGUGUUUUGAUCAGCCAUGUAAAGUUCCAAGUUUCUUGCCAGAGUCUUUGAAACUAUUGACAAGACUUUAAAUGGUAAGAUUUAAAUGUGAUUCUAAAACUCACAUAAAAGAUGUUUGAGAUAUAAGCAUUGGAGAAAGCAUGGUAGCAUGUGGAUUUGUCAUUGGAACAGAAAAACAAAAUCAUAGUAAAUUCAGCACAUACUUAUUGAAGAAUAUAUACAUAUAUAUAUAUAUAUAUAUUUCAAGUACUUUGAUAAAGUUGAUGGUAGCAGGUAGUUGAGUAAAAUAGUAAAGAGCUGACAGAGCACAGUCUCUGCCUCCAGAGAGUCUACCUUUUAAGUGGGAAACAGCCAGUGAACUGUAUUUCCGUGUGAUGUGUGCAUUGCAGCAACGGAAGGAUAGAUAUAAAGGCUGCAGCUGAAACAUUAAGGAAGGGCAUUCACUUGUUGCCAGAUUUCAGAUAGAAGAUGCAUUUUUAUUUCAGCAAAUUAACCCCCUGAGUCUCAGUAAAAUGAUGAUAAUAUAUCUAUCUGGAAGACUUGUUCUGAGGAUUAAAUGAAAGUACCCGAACAGUGCUUCAUGCAGUGCCUCAAAUGGCCUGGCUGCUCAGGAAGCCAUAGCUACUACCCCAAGGCUGCACCUAUAGAGAGUCUUUCUUUCUGGUUUUGUGGGCUCUGCUUCCCUUCUUCCUUCCUUUUUAUUUUAUUUUUUAAGUAUUCAUAGCCCUGUAGUUCCUAUUGUGGCUCACUGGUUAAGACCCCAACUAGUAUCCAUGAGGACGCGGUUCAAUCCCUGGCCUUGCUCCAUGGGUUAAGGAUCCAACAUUGCCAUGAGCUGUGGUGUAGGUCACAGACGCAUCUCUGAUUCGAUCCCUAACCUGGGAACCUCCGUAUUCUGCGCGAGCGGCCCUAAAAAGAUCAAGGACAAAAAUGUUUAAAGUUAAAUAAAUAAAUAAGAAAGAAAUAAAUAAAAUAUUCAGAGCCCUCAUGGAUUUGAAGAAGGCCCUUUAAAGUCUUAGAAGUCAAACUUUGCAAAACAUGUUGCCUCUCAUCAUCAUUCAAAAAUCUGCACUGUCCAAUAAGGAACUACUUAGUCACAUGUGGCUAUUUAAAUUAUUUAAAAUUCAAAAUUCUCUUUUGUCAGUCACAAUCACCCACACUUCAAAAUGCUCAGUAGCCACGUGUGGUUGUAGCUACCAAACUGGACAACACAGAUGUAGAAGCCUUCUGAAAAGUUCGAUUUUGUAGCACUGUUCUGGAACAGCGACUGCUACGAGUUCCCUGGCGGCCUAGUGGUUAAGGAUUCAGUGUUAUCCGUGCUGUGACUCUGGUUCGAUCCCUGGCCCUGGAACUUCUACACCCUACAAGUGCAGCCUCAGAAGACAAACAAACGAACAAAAAAACAGCCACUGCUGAUCAUAUAGGACCCAGAAAGUGGACUGUUUAUCUAAUCAGUUUUAUAAUUCAAAAUUCUCUCUCUCCUACUAUAUUAAAAAUUAAAAAAAAUCCAUCACCUUUGAUUAUUUUCCUUUAAAGAGUUAUAAUGCUUUAGCAGUUUUCAAGUUUUUAAAUGACAUUUAGACUUCUUUAAAAUGCUGUUUCUGAUGAAAGAUUACAUUUGAUUAGGUUAAAUACAUUCAGUAGACUACUUUAAUCUCUUUCUUCGUCAGUGUUUUAUGUCUCAUACUUGCCAUUUGUUUUUUUCUAAGCAACUCAGCAUGUGUCUUCCAAAUACAGACAGUAUUCAUUUAGGAUUUUCUUACUGCAAUUGCCAUGUACGUCUGCAUUGUUACUGAUAGUGGCAGACACACUAACAAACAUACUGACAAAUAAUCGUGACUAAAUCAGCAAAAAUAACAAAAAGAUCUAAAAGGUUUUCUAUGUGACUGCUCCUAGCAAAUUUACAGUGAGUAGAAGUGUUAGGUUACACACAGGUUCUGGACUGGUUUCUCAGGAACCUACCUGUAAUUCAUCCCAGAUCUCCCCCUGUGUGCCUGUCCGAUCUUCCCAGAGCAACCUUUUAAAAAAAAAAUUCUGGAGUUCCCGUCCUGGCGCAGUGGUUAAUGAAUCCGACUGGGAACCAUGAGGUCGUGGCUUCGAUCCCUGGCCUUGCUCAGUGGGUUGAGGAUCCGGUGCUGCCCUGAGCUGUGGUGUAGGUUGCAGACGCAGCUCAGAUCCCAAGUUGCUGUGGCUCUGGUGUAGGCCGGCGGCUGCAGCUCCGAUUCGACCCCUAGCCAGGGAACCUCCAUAUGCCGCAGGAGCAGCCCUAGAAAAGGCAAAAAGACAAAAUAAAUAAGUAAAUAAAUAAAUAAUUUUUAAAAAUUCUAUAGCCCAAAAGGUGAUGUUCCUUAUUGCCUGAUUUGUUGCAAUAAAAACAAAUUGGAUUUACAGAUAUGUAAGUAAACACUGAGUUUAUUUCGAAAUAUGGACUAUUGUUGCCUUGUUCAGUUUACUGUGUACUUCAUAACACAAAGCCAUAUUCUCUACAAUACAGAGCGAUAUCUACUCUAGUUAGUAAAUGUAACGUAGGAAUUAUUCCGAAAGGUUGGAAAUCAGAUAAGAGCUGAAGAGAAAGCAAAUAACCCCGUAAUGUUUUGGGAAACAACUUGGAUUUAGAGUUUGAGAGCACCAUGAAGAUCAUGGGCUGUAUCUUUAAACAACAAAAUUUAGAGCGAUUAUGACUUUUACUCAUGGUAACAGAUGGAAGUGGCAGUUUUAAAAAAAUUGUGUGUGUGUGUUUUGACUCUUGAACAGCUAGGAGGUUCCAUACAGUCAAAAAUCUACCUAUAACAGAGUUCCCCUUGUAGCACAGUGGAAUUGAAUCCGGCUAGGAACCAUGAGGUUGUGGGUUCAAGCCCUAGCCUUGCUCAGUGGGUUAAGGAUCUGGCGUUUCCAUGAGCUGUGGUGUAGGUCACAGACGCGGCUCGGAUCUGGCAUUGCUAUGGCUGUGGUGUAGGCCAGCAGCUGUAGCUCUGAUUGGACCCCUAGCCUGGGAACCUCCAUAUGCCAUGGGUGCAGCC
rnacentral:lncRNA from 1 species